rnacentral:rRNA from 1 species
GCCUAAAGCGUCCGUAGCCGGCCGAGCGGGUCCGUCGGGAAAUCCGCGUGCUCAACGCGCGGGCGUCCGGCGGAAACCACUCGGCUUGGGGCCGGAGGACUCGAGGGGUACGUCCGGGGUAGGAGUGAAAUCCCGUAAUCCUGGACGGACCGCCGAUGGCGAAAGCACCUCGAGAGGACGGACCCGACGGUGAGGGACGAAAGCCAGGGUCUCGAACCGGAUUAGAUACCCGGGUAGUCCUGGCCGUAAACGAUGUUCGCUAGGUGUGGCGUCGACUACGAGUCGGCGCUGUGCCGCAGGGAAGCCGCUAAGCGAACCGCCUGGGAAGUACGUCCGCAAGGAUGAAACUUAAAGGAAUUGGCGGGGGAGCACUACAACCGGAGGAGCCUGCGGUUUAAUUGGACUCAACGCCGGAAAUCUUACCAGCUCCGACAGUAGCGAUGACGCUCAGUGUGAUGAGCUUGGUUGAGCUACUGAGAGGAGGUGCAUGGCCGCCGUCAGCUCGUACCGUGAGGCGUCCUGUUAAGUCAGGCAACGAGCGAGACCCGCACUCUUAAUUGCCAGCGACACCGCGAGGUGGUCGGGUACAUUAGGAGGACUGCCGUCGCCAAGACGGAGGAAGGAACGGGCAACGGUAGGUCAGUAUGCCCCGAAUGAGCUGGGCUACACGCGGGCUACAAUGGCUCUGACAGUGGGAUGCAACGCCGAGAGGCGACGCUAAUCUCCAAACGGAGUCGUAGUUCGGAUUGCGGGCUGAAACCCGCCCGCAUGAAGCUGGAUUCGGUAGUAAUCGCG